GACGAACGCUGGCGGCGUGCUUAACACAUGCAAGUCGAACGGAAAGGCCCUGCUUUUGUGGGGUGCUCGAGUGGCGAACGGGUGAGUAACACGUGAGUAACCUGCCCUUGACUUUGGGAUAACUUCAGGAAACUGGGGCUAAUACCGGAUAGGAGCUCCUGCUGCAUGGUGGGGGUUGGAAAGUUUCCGCGGUUGGGGAUGGACUCGCGGCUUAUCAGCUUGUUGGUGGGGUAGUGGCUUACCAAGGCUUUGACGGGUAGCCGGCCUGAGAGGGUGACCGGCGACAUUGGGACUGAGAUACGGCCCAGACUCCUACGGGAGGCAGCAGUGGGGAAUAUUGCACAAUGGGCGGAAGCCUGAUGCAGCAACGCCGCGUGCGGGAUGACGGCCUUCGGGUUGUAAACCGCUUUCGCCUGUGACGAAGCGUGAGUGACGGUAAUGGGUAAAGAAGCACCGGCUAACUACGUG
rnacentral:rRNA from 1 species